AUUGAACGCUGGCGGCAGGCUUAACACAUGCAAGUCGAGCGGGGGAAGGUAGCUUGCUACCGGACCUAGCGGCGGACGGGUGAGUAAUGCUUAGGAAUCUGCCUAUUAGUGGGGGACAACAUCUCGAAAGGGAUGCUAAUACCGCAUACGUCCUACGGGAGAAAGCAGGGGAUCUUCGGACCUUGCGCUAUAGAUGAGCCUAAGUCGGAUUAGCUAGUUGGUGGGGUAAAGGCCUACCAAGGCGACGAUCUGUAGCGGGUCUGAGAGGAUGAUCCGCCACACUGGGACUGAAACACGGCCCAGACUCCUACGGGAGGCAGCAGUGGGGAAUAUUGGACAAUGGGGGGAACCCUGAUCCAGCCAUGCCGCGUGUGUGAAGAAGGCCUUAUGGUUGUAAAGCACUUUAAGCGAGGAGGAGGCUACUUUAGUUAAUACCUAGAGAUAGUGGACGUUACUCGCAGAAUAAGCACCGGCUAACUCUGUACCAGCCGCCGCAGUAA
rnacentral:rRNA from 1 species